rnacentral:rRNA from 1 species
UACGGGGGGGGCAAGCGUUGUUCGGAAUUACUGGGCGUAAAGGGCUCGUAGGCGGCCAACUAAGUCAGACGUGAAAUCCCUCGGCUUAACCGGGGAACUGCGUCUGAUACUGGAUGGCUAGAGUGUGGGAGAGGGAUGCGGAAUUCCAGGUGUAGCGGUGAAAUGCGUAGAUAUCUGGAGGAACACCGGUGGCGAAGGCGGCAUCCUGGACCACGACUGGCGCUGAGUGAGCGAAAGCCAGGGGAGCAAACGGG